rnacentral:rRNA from 1 species
GAUGAACGCUGGCGGCGUGCCUAAUACAUGCAAGUCGAGCGAACAGACGAGGAGCUUGCUCCUCUGAUGUUAGCGGCGGACGGGUGAGUAACACGUGGAUAACCUACCUAUAAGACUGGGAUAACUUCGGGAAACCGGAGCUAGUACCGGAUAAUAUGUUGAACCGCAUGGUUCAAUAGUGAAAGACGGUCUUGCUGUCACUUCUAGAUGGAUCCGCGCCGCAUUAGCUAGUUGGUAAGGUAACGGCUUACCAAGGCAACGGUGCGUAGCCGACCUGAGAGGGUGAUCGGCCACCAGGGAACUGAGAAGCGGUCCAGACUCCUACGGGAGGCAGCCGUUGGGAAUCUUCCGGCAUGGGCGCAAGCCUGACGGAGCAACGCCGGGUGAGUGAAGAAGGUCCUCGGAUCGUAAAACCCUGUUAUUAGGGAAGGACAAAUGUGUAAGUAACUAUGCCCGUCUUGGCGGGACCUAAUCAGGAAGCCACGGCUAACUACGUG